ensembl:lncRNA
CUUUUAACAGAACCCCAGGCAACUGGAGAACAAGUUGAAAGCCAAUACUCUGUUCACAGGCCCUGGUUUCUGCAGAGGCUUCCUUCUGUCAGGACACAGAUUUAUGACCAAGGCGAUGGCACCCCACUCCAGUACUCUUGCCUGGAAAAUCCCAUGGACGGAGGAGCCUGCUUUGGGGACUGCAAGAGAGGCAUUUAAGGUGUAGAAGACAACUCCGACCCUACAUUGAUCAUGGAUGUUCUGCUUCUAAAGAUGAGUGAGCCAGCCAAGCUGUAAGGCUAAUCACCCUGGGCAAGUAUGAAUUUAUCUAAAGAGGAUUUCAUGUGGAACCCCCUGAGCCGGCCGCCAAACGGAUGACUGCACACUUUAAGAAAGUUAGUGGGCCUUCUCCCAAUCAACUGUCAGGCGACAUAAAAGGUUUGGAACGCGCUGACUUAAGCAAACGAUAUUUAGCCAUCUAAGGAGAUCAGAAGGCCCAAGAUUUUGCUUUGUUGGAGCUGACAGGAAAUAUUGAUACGUAUCAAGUAACACUCCUGAUGCAAAAGGGAAGAUGUGAUUCUUUUCGGCACUAUCUCUAUUUACAAAACUGUCUUGUGCUUUGGAAAGAAGGUGGGGGCAGGGGAAAUGCCAAAACCAACACUUCACUUGGGACUUUGCCAGCUUUCCUGGGACCGCAAUGUAGUGAAAAUAGGAAUCAAACUACAUCAGCUUUUUUUUUUUUUUUUUUAAACAAAAGGUGUUGGAAUUGGAAUCUGCAGACUCUCUGAAUGUCUAGCUGAUGGGUGGACCUCGUCCAUCACCCCAAAUCUAUCCCUUGAGUUGAUUAACUUAGAAAGCCUGCCAUGGAUUAUGUUUUGGUGGAUAAUAUGCCAGAGUGUCUUCCAAAUAUCUGGCUCUCAGGCCUGAAAAGCAAAUGCUCUGAACAGGUCCUAGGUAUUGAAGUUCUAUUUUCAUGAGUAACAAUGUUCAUGAUCCGAAUGAUUCAUCACUUUCAGUAUUUAAACCACAUGGGUUGCGGGGAGGGGAAUCAUAAUGUCCUGUAUUGGCAAAGUCUAACGGGAACACAGGGCUUUUACCGUGGAAUAAAGGUUGGGUUGGAGGGUUUCAUUUAAAAGGGGAAAAAAAAAAAAAACACAAAACACCCUAUUUUAUCAGAAGACUAAACGUUCUCCAUCAGUAAUGUUGUGCCUGAGGUGAUACCUUGAAGAUGCUGGAGGUGGCAGUGUUAAUGAAACACCCGUUGGCACUAAACAGCAUUUCUAGAAUCCUGAUUGUAGCACUAGAAAGGAAAGUGAAAUUUGUAACCGCACAAUAAACAAGGGAAACUGCAGAAAAGAACCUGCUUGUUCUGAGAGGAAGAUCGCUUCCAGUUAAACAAAGAAAUUUAGGGUCGUCUGCUUUUCAUGAAAAUCGCAUACAUAUGGCCUUUGAAAUUUGUCACUGAAGACGUUUUUUGCUCUAAGGUCCCUCCUGGAAAAAUUCUGCAACAUCUCAAUGGAAACUUUUAGCCAAGAAGUGUAUGUUAUCCUCAAAAUAACUGGAGGAAGAGAAAGCAUUCCCUAUCGUCAGAUGUUGUGGAAGUUUACCUUACUUCUCAGAUGACUAUUUUUGAACAAAAGGUUGUAUUUUCCAAAGAUGGCUGCCACAGUCUCCUCCGAGACCACACAUUGAGCAACUCUGCAAAUUCGUUCAAGGUAUUUUAUUUUGAUAUAAUUUUUGAAAUGCUCAUUUGUUUUAAAUUAUAAAUGGAAUGCAUGUUCAAGAAUGUAAGAUUAAAAAAAGAUAAAGUUAGCAGUGAUAUUAAAAUACCUUUUUG